rnacentral:lncRNA from 1 species
AGGGAGCAGGGAUCCGCCUCCACUCCACCUGACCAGGAGCUCCAGAAUUGUAAAAUCCUGGACACCAUCGGCUGUGGCACGUUCAGUGAGGUCAAACUGACUCCUCACGUGCUGACUGGGACCCAGGUGGCCAUCGAAAUCAUACCUAAAAAUUUCACACAGAGAGAGACCUGAACCUGGAAAUUAUUGUCCUUGAUGAGGACGGUAACAUUAAGAUCGCAGACUUCAGCUUCCGUACCACAUUCCAUGAGAAACAGAAGCUGAUAGCCCUUUGUGGCACCUACCCCUGCAUGGCCCUGGAACUCUUCCUGGGCCAGGGCUACCAGUGCCCUGCCAUGAAUGUUUGGAGCCUCGGAGUAAUGUUAUAUCACAUGGUGGGUGAAGUUCUGCCCUUCUGCUCACGCAGUGUUAGGGUCUUCACGGGAAAAAUUUAAAAUGGAAGAUGAUUUUCCCCAGUAUACUUUUCCCGAGGUCUCAAAAGCCUCAAUAAUAAACUAUUAAGAGUAGACCCCAGGGAGCAGACAGCACUAGAAGAAGUGAUGAGGGGCCCAUGGGUGAAGGUCCUCCUGCUUCCCCAUCUUCUGAGGCCCAGGCCUUUCUCAGAGCCUCUGUAGGUCCCACCCCUGGU